AGUGAACGCUGGCGGCAGGCCUAACACAUGCAAGUCGAGCGGCAGCGCGGGGGCAACCCUGGCGGCGAGCGGCGGACGGGUGAGGAAUUCGUCGGAAUCUGCCUUUAUGUGGGGGAUAACGUAGGGAAACUUACGCUAAUACCGCAUACGUCCUACGGGAGAAAGUGGGGGACCGCAAGGCCUCACGCAGAAAGAUGAGCCGACGACCGAUUAGCUAGUUGGUGGGGUAAAGGCCCACCAAGGCGACGAUCGGUAGCUGGUCUGAGAGGAUGAUCAGCCACACUGGGACUGAGACACGGCCCAGACUCCUACGGGAGGCAGCAGUGGGGAAUAUUGGACAAUGGGCGCAAGCCUGAUCCAGCCAUGCCGCGUGUGUGAAGAAGGCCUUCGGGUUGUAAAGCACUUUUGUCCGGAAAGAAAUCCCUGGAGCUAAUACCUUCGGGGGAUGACGGUACCGGAAGAAUAAGCACCGGCUAACUUCGUG
rnacentral:rRNA from 1 species